UCUACAACUAUUACAAAAAAUUAGUUUACAACACACAAUUCAACUGGUACUUCAACAAUAUAAACAAAUAUAAGUUUUACUCAUGGAAAUUAAUGUAAGGCCCCAUGAAAAUGAGUGCUCAUGGGUAUGCGUAAACAAACUGAAUAAAGAUGUGGGUAAACAGUAGGUUCCAUCAAAACCUUAGACAAGGAAUUUAGCUACUCAUGGGUAUAGCUAAACAAACUAAAAUAAUAUUCAUCAUAAACUACAAAUAAAACUCAAAAGAAAAGAAGAAAUAUGGUUUGGGUAUUCCCUCACAAAUUUUUUUCCUUCAAAGAACUCUAAAAACUGAAUACAUGCCUCAUAUGGGCGAUGUCUAGUGUUUAAAAUAGGUUUUAGGGCUAAUUACUGUGUUGACACUUUCGUAUCUCAAGUUUACUAUGCCUACUGUGGUUCUGCCACUGUUGCGGUAGAACCGCGGCCAAACAUCCCCUUUUAUACUCCUCUUGUCCGCGAUAGCAUCUCACCGCGAAUCUGCCGCUGUCGCAGUGGAACAACGACAGAUCAGUUUCUCUAAUUCUUGAGCCUGUUUUUAGCGUUUUUCACUUAGGCAUUUCCCGAUUGUCCUCUUUUUCUUCAUAUUUGGCUCCAGAAGUACUCCCGACCCUUCCCUAGUUAUAUAUAACCUGCAAAUCAUGAAAAGCACUCGUAAGAGCAUUUGGUUAUCACUUUUAUUACCAAAACUAUGCAAGAAAGUGAUUAUUUAGGGCCUGAAGAUAGUUAAAGUCACAUAUUAUUAUGCCCAUAUAAGUAUUUAUAUUAACCAAACUGCACACCAUCAAAUAUAUAGUAUUGUU
rnacentral:lncRNA from 1 species